rnacentral:lncRNA from 13 species
CACAACACUGUAAAGAGGAAAGAAAGUCACGCUGGUUUAAAAGCCUGUACAAACUAAGGAAACAGUAUUAUCUCUGCUCUCCACAUAAUUAAUAGGCAUGCACUAAUAGAUAAGUAAGUUUUUGCUUAAAUUUUUCACUCUUUAAAAUAAGAUGUUCAUGAACAUACUUGUAAAUGUCUCCCUGUGCCCAUGUCCCCAAGUUUCUUACCUAGGAGUGGAAUUGUUGGGACACCAAAGUAGGCAUAUCUUUAACUCAACUAGGUGCUGCUGCCAAUUAAUUUGCUCUUCCAACAUGUGCCAACUCACAGAUCUGCCAGCACUGGGGAGAGUAACUAUCUCCUAUCUCUCCACAUCUUCACCAAUACUUAGAAUAGUCAGACUUUUUAUUUUCUGGUAGCCUAGUGGAAAGGAAAUGAUAACCCUACCCCUUUUACUCAUUUAUGUUUCUUUCUUUCUUUCUUUCUUUCUUUCUUUCUUUCUUUCUUUCUUUCUUUCUUUCUUUCUCUUUCUUUCUCUCUCUCUCUCUGUGUCUCUCUUCUUUCUUUCUUUCUUUCUCUUUUUGGCAGGGUCUUGCUCUGUUGCCCAGUGGAGUGCUGAAGAAUGAACACGGCUCACUGCAGCCUCAACCUCCCACGCUCAAGCAAUCCUCUCAAAGUAGCUGGGACUACAGAUGCACACCACCACAUCCAGUUAAGACUUUCCAUCCAGUAACAAGAAGAGAAUAAUUCAAAUGUUCCUAAGCUGAAACAAGAGGUUUGAAAGAAAUGCCAUGCCCGGAAGUGGGGUGGAAACAGCGCUGGUGAUGUUCUUCCAUCUUUCACAGAAAAGUUUGAGGAACAAACUAACAAGCUAACAAAAUACUGUUGGGGAAAAAAGAACAGGUAUUUUAUGUCUCCUUUUAUUUCUUCUUAAGCAGUUAAUCAUUUUCCCUCAUGCUCUGUAUAUCAUCUGUAUUUAAACCAAUUGGAAUGGCAAUUUUCGCUUUUGUUGUUUUGUGUUUUUCAGGAUUAAUAUUCCUGAAUAUGAAAUUUUAAAGAAUCUGUGUGUGUGAGAGACAGGGUCUCACUCUAACACCCCGGCU